rnacentral:rRNA from 1 species
CCAUCGAUGUCGACAGAGUUUGAUCCUGGCUCAGAGCGAACGCUGGCGGCAGGCCUAACACAUGCAAGUCGAGCGCCCGUAGCAAUACGGGAGCGGCAGACGGGAGAGUAACACGUGGGAACGCGCCCUUCGGUUCGGAAUAACUCAGGGAAACUUGAGCUAAUACCGGAUACGCCCUUACGGGGAAAGAUUUAUUGCCGAAGGAACGGCCCGCGUCCGAUUAGCUUGUUGGUGAGGUAAUGGCUCACCAAGGCGACGAUCGGUAGCUGGUCUGAGAGGAUGACCAGCCUCACUGGGACUGAGACACGGNCCAGACUCCUACGGGAGGCAGCAGUGGGGAAUAUUGGACAAUGGGCGCAAGCCUGAUCCA